CCGGACGCCCCAGUCGGGGUCCGGCCAACCGGGCGCCCGAUCGGUGUCUGGCGCUCCUGAUCACCAUGUUGCUCAUGUGGAGGAUAUGGCCAUGAGGA
rfam:Rhodoplanes sp. Z2-YC6860, complete genome.